rnacentral:rRNA from 1 species
UGGGGAAUAUUGGACAAUGGGCGAAAGCCUGAUCCAGCCAUGCCGCGUGUGUGAAGAAGGUCUUCGGAUUGUAAAGCACUUUAAGUUGGGAGGAAGGGCAGUUACCUAAUACGUGAUUGUUUUGACGUUACCGACAGAAUAAGCACCGGCUAACUCUGUGCCAGCAGCCGCGGUAAUACAGAGGGUGCAAGCGUUAAUCGGAAUUACUGGGCGUAAAGCGCGCGUAGGUGGUUUGUUAAGUUGGAUGUGAAAUCCCCGGGCUCAACCUGGGAACUGCAUUCAAAACUGACUGACUAGAGUAUGGUAGAGGGUGGUGGAAUUUCCUGUGUAGCGGUGAAAUGCGUAGAUAUAGGAAGGAACUCCAGUGGCGAAGGCGACCACCUGGACUAAUACUGACACU